AAGACUUAAUACUUUAACUUAAAAGGCCUGAUUUGCAUUCAGAAAAUAGAUCCUUAGAUCUUUAGGU
rnacentral:tRNA from 1 species